UUUAGCUCGUAAAUAGAAUAUGUCGAAAUGUCUCGGCAAUUACGGAUGUUUUGUACAUAGCAAUCAGUUCAUUCGAUAUUCAGAGAACGUAAGACUCACGCGCCAACUCUUGAGAAGCUUGGAAGCCCAAGAUCUCCCUUUCUGGAAGAUCAUUUCCAGUUUCCAUUUGCGAAGUUCCGCCAGCAGCCUGUCGCGCCACAUUUCAAUAACUGCCAAUGGAAAACGACGUGAGGUAAUAGCAACGAGAGGAUUGGAAUCGAAUAAAUCGGUCAGGUUCAAGGAAACUGUCGUUAACAUGAACAACGAUCGAUCAAUGAUCUAGGAAUACUUGGAAAACAAUUAAUUGAAUAUUCAUUUAUUAACGUUAAUAUAUUUUUUAUACUUUUUGUUAUCAUUCUACAUUAAUAAAUUGAGAUAAGUUAAUUUAAAAAGUAAUAGAAUUAAUGAAAUAUAUAUCUCAAUUUUUAAUCCAGAUAGUUGAACAAGAACAUUGAUUAUUCAUUCUAUUUGUGAUUCUUGAAUGUAAUAUGAGUUAUAUUAGAAGAAUCUGAUAUUUUGGUAAAGGAUAUCUUGUAAGGAUAUCUAUAUUUGAUGAACAUCUCUACUAAUUGAAUGCAAAACUUUGAAUUUAUUGUAUAUUGGCGUGGGAUAUAAUAUUUAGGUCAAAUUUCUAUUGCAAUCUCAUACAAACAAAAAGUACAAAUCAAGGAAAGCCACAAUCUCCAACCAAACCAAAAUAUGCAACAACAUCUCACAUCUAUACAUUAUAUCUCUAUAUUACUGCAAAUAGAAAUAUUUUUCAAAAAUUCAAAUGCCAUUACAAGAUCAAUAAAACAUGUAAUUCAAGACUUUCGCACAGUGCAGUAUCUAAACCGGUAAUACAUUCGCACCUUCCUUAAGACCUCGUUCGAAUCCUAAUUACAUUCCAAUUGCAACGGGCACUAUAAUUCAAACGAAACUACCAUGCAUAUCUUCCACAUCACCCAAUUCAAUUAUCUGGCAGGAGAGGACAAUUGGAUUAAUUCGGGCCCUUAAUUCCCUCGCUUCCAACAAUUGAGUUAGAUGGCUUGAUUCCAAACGUUAUUUGUCUCGACCGUCGUAUUAAAAACCGUUACGCACUGUCGGCCACUUACCAGGUGAUGACCAGGUCAUUGGAUUCAAGAAAAUGUAUUGUGCCUCACAAUAAGUUUCAUGGAGCAUUAUAGAGACACGAGGACACAGAAUCUCUUGCGAAGCAUUCACAACACGCAUUUGAUAUCAAUUGACUAUUACUAAAAUAUGCAAAGAUGCAAAGAAUUAACGAUGAUGAUAAUGAAAUGUAUUAUUGAAUCAAAUGAAAGAAAUCUCGCAUUUAUUUUUAUCUUAUUUUAUUUAUUUAAUUACUAAUUAAGGUUAAAGGCAUAGGAUGUUCUCAUUUCACAAUCAUCGAUGACCGAUUGAAAUGUGAGAUAAACACGAAAAAUUCGUACUUACUUGGAACGAGACCAUUCCCCUAACCAGACUUCCUCGACCAAACGAAUAAAUACCCUCGAAUUACACGGGCCAUUACUCUAUGAGUUUAUUUAGCAACAGAGAAUCCCAUAGAACAACAGAACGGAAGGCCAUUACAUGCUUCCUCCAAUUAGGAGAACUCUUGCCGUCGAUCAAGUUACACAGCCAAGUUUUGAGGAUACAUUUUCAAAACAUUCGCAACGAUGGAUGAAUCCUAUACGCUUAACCAUCAUCACUCUGAUUUUUGUGAAUUUGUCCAUAAACGUAACAC
rnacentral:lncRNA from 1 species